rnacentral:rRNA from 1 species
AGUGAACGCUGGCGGUAGGCCUAACACAUGCAAGUCGAACGGCAGCACAGUAAGAGCUUGCUCUUACGGGUGGCGAGUGGCGGACGGGUGAGGAAUACAUCGGAAUCUACUUUUUCGUGGGGGAUAACGUAGGGAAACUUACGCUAAUACCGCAUACGCCCUACGGGUGAAAGCAGGGGAUCUUCGGACCUUGCGCGUUUGAAUGAGCCGAUGUCGGAUUAGCUAGUUGGCGGGGUAAAGGCCCACCAAGGCGACGAUCCGUAGCUGGUCUGAGAGGAUGAUCGGCCACACGGGAGCUGAGACACGGUCCAGGCUCCUACGGGAGGCAGCAGUCGGCAAUAUUGGACAAUGGGCGCAAGCCUGAUCCAGCCAUACCGCGUGGGUGAAGAAGGCCUUCGGGUUGUAAAGCCCUUUUGUUGGGAAAGAAAAGCAGCAGGUUAAUACCCCGCUGUUCCGACGGUACCCAAAGAAUAAGCACCGGCUAACUUCGUG